AAAUAAAAACUCAGGGGUAUAUAAGAGAUCAAACAAAUUUCAGGGGCGUAGAAGGGAUUGGGUGAAAUUACAUGGGCAUAUAGGGAAUUGGCCCUUGUGUAGCGGCGGCGCCUCCGCCAUCUCUCCUGCGCCGUCGCCCCCCAUCCUCGAGCUGGACGCGGUGGCACGCCUUCACCUUCCUUGGGUAGCGUCUCCUCCUCAUCCUCCCCCUCUCCAAAGCUCCAUCGUUGUCCCCUCUCCCACCCCUUCCUCUGCAUUCGGCUAGAUCCAGCCAAUAGAAGCUAUGGCCAUGGCAUCUGGCUCCCCUGAGCUUCGUGGAGUGGAGAGGCCAAGGAGGGGAGGCCUCCCCUAGUAUCUUCCUCUCCCAAUCACCAUUGCUGCCAGCUCUUCCUCCCCCUUCCGGAUCCGGCCAGAUCUAGGCUUCAUCGAGUUGGGGACUUCCAGAUCUGGAGCUCCAGGUCAUGGCUACGUGCUGCAUCCACCACAACAGCAACGAAGACGAUGUGACGGGGCUCGGGAGUUCCCGCUGAUGGCGGCGACAUGCUGGAGAAUUUCCUGACAUAAAAUGCACCUUUUCUUGUUUCUGAAUUUCCUGGGCUCCAUGUGCACCUUCAACCGGAUUUUAUUUAGUUGCUAUAUGCAGGUCACUCGGCAAUCCUGCAAAUACUUAAUGGUUGGUUGGCGAAAUGUGCAGCCCACAUUAGGAGUGCAACAAUGAAGUGCUUCCAUAAGCUGCUCAGGAUGGAGCUGAAGAAAUACAUGACAAGAACUAAGAGAUAAAACAGAAAACGCAGAUGCAGGAAGAGCAACAGGUAGAUGAUGCGUUAAUUAUUGCCUUUAUAUUCAUUUUAGACGAUAUAGGCAAUUGUCAAAGUUGCAUCUGCCUGCAGCUAAAGUAAUCCCUAUCCCUAUAUCUUGUGGUUCUCCCUUUUGUUUGUAUUAAAAACUUCAGAGUCAUUGAGAAGUGCCAUCAGGCUUAGUUCUACUCGAUGUCAAUAAAAUUCAGAGUCAUCUUCCUGUUCCUCUUUUUUUGUAGAGUAUAAGGAUAUUGUGAUCGAAAAGAGUUUAAACUGUGAUUUAGCUUCUGAAGAGACCUCAUGGUUUUGAGGCAUCAAAACAAAAGGCUCAUUCAUUCUGUUGCGCAUGAAACAAAUUGGUGUAAUUCCUGUGUCUCUGUAGAUUCUUUAGAUUCAAACUGCAGCAAAGAACAGACAUAGAAAUGUUGGCUUCCCAGUUCCUAAUGAAGAUGUGAGCAUCCCAGUAAACUGUACUCUCAGUGUCUCUGUAGUUUAAUCUACAUUGGUGGCACUGUCUACCUUAUAAUCUUACAAACUUCAGUGAGAAAAUAAUCUUACUACCUGAUUUUAGGUUCAAACAUUGUGUUUUUCAUAACAUCCAUGAAUAGGAGUGAAUCAUCUGUGCUGGUAAUGAUUGCUAUACAAACUUCUUUGCAAUCUCAAGCCUAAAGUAUUUACUUUUCCUUUUUCAUUUAUGCUCUUUUCAGUGUCAUUGUGCCUUUUUUAUUGACAUUCUAAAAAGUUGCUCAAGUUAAAUUGUUGACUGUUCUUGACCAUAUUCAGAUAAUGAGAAAUCAGAGAUAUAUAGUAAUGUGUGGCUUAAUUUGGCUUAUAUUAGAGCAUUGCUACUCGUAAAAGUACCUAGCGAAAAAAAAUUGCUCAUGGUAAACUACCUGCACAAUUUCACUAGUACCUUUUGUGAUGCAGUAGUUGUUUAUACACUAAAUGGUGGCCUCUGUUCCUGAAGAUCCAGUCCUAUAUUUUUGCUAGGUUUAAUUAUACAUUCAAGCAUCAACUUCAGGAUCUGUACCAUCUAUUUAUAUCAUCUUUCUGUUAUUGAUUGAUCAACCAAAUAAUAUGUUCCUAGCUAUUGUAACUUUGGUUAUUGCUUUAACUGACAUGAACCAUGAAUUGCUUGUAUGCUAAUUAUUAAUUGUAACCUCUUUACUGAAAUAUAUAUCUAUGUUGGAAUGUGUUGUGCU